CUUUAAAUAUAAUACAUCAACUUUUAUUAAAUCAAAAAAUAAAAUUUUAACAUUCCACAUUAUCAAACAUGUGACAUUCCACAUUUUUCAAUAUGCAAUGUUACACAUUAUCAAAUAUGUGACACUUCAUAUUAUCAAAUAUGUGGCAUUCACAUAGUCAAAUAUAUAUAUAUAUAUUUUUAUUCAACCCAAGUGGCCAUAAUAUUUGCAAUAUUUAGCCCUAGGCUACAAAAUAAAAUAUUGAUUUGUGACACAUAUAGUGUGACAUUCGAAUGAAAUCGACAUAAAUAAGUUGGUGGUCGUCUAAUGAGGUGCUUCGGAAGCUAUCUGGCAGCCUGAGGUUCGACCCAAGACCUUAAGUAAAUCUUCUUUCACCCUCCAACAUCAUGAAGGUGCACCACAAGGCAUUUCUAACUCAACAGAUAGAUCCACGCUGCAUCCACAUUAGAACCACUUGUACAAGGCAACAACAACAACAAAAAAAAAAUGUGUUUCUUUAACACUUUGGUUUAAAAGACCCAAAAAAAUAUAUUGCUAAGCUGAGUAUUGUUUCUUUGACCAUGGAAGUUUGAAAAUAAACAAUCCUACUUUUUAACAUAAGAUGGAAAAAGCGAACAAAAGACUAGUCAGCACACGAAACUAAUACAUUUUUUCUGGCAUUAAUAUUUGAAUCAAGAGAAACAUAACCAUAACAUAUAGGUUCUAGAAUUUUGCUAUAUUACUUUGUUUUU